rnacentral:rRNA from 1 species
GAUGAACGCUGACAGAAUGCUUAACACAUGCAAGUCUUUGGCGAAUCUGUGCUUGCACAGGCUAGCCAAGGCGGACGGGUGAGUAACGCGUAAAGAACUUGCCCUGCAGACAGGGAUAACAGACGGAAACGACUGAUAACACCUGAUACAGUUGCCGGCACGCAUGUGCCUGGCAAUGAAAAGAGAUGCUGCAGGAGAGCUUUGCGUCCUAUUAGCUUGUUGGUGAGGUGACGGCUCACCAAGGCGAUGAUAGGUAGCCGGCCUGAGAGGGUGAACGGCCACAAGGGGGCUGCGAUGCCGCCCUUCCUCCUACGGGAGGCAGCAGUGGGGAAUAUUGGACGAUGGGGGCAACCCUGAUCCAGCAAUUCUGUGUGCACGAAGAAGGUUUUCGGAUUGUAAAGUGCUUUCAGCAGGGAAGAAGAAAGUGGCGGUACCUGCAGAAGAAGCGACGGCUAAAUACGUG